rnacentral:rRNA from 1 species
UUGACAUGCAGAGAACUUUCCAGAGAUGGAUUGGUGCCUUCGGGAACUNUGACACAGGUGCUGCAUGGCCGUCGUCAGCUCGUGUCGUGAGAUGUUGGGUUAAGUCCCGUAACGAGCGCAACCCCUAUCCCUAGUUGCUAGCAGUUCGGCUGAGAACUCUAGGGAGACUGCCGGUGACAAACCGGAGGAAGGUGGGGAUGACGUCAGGUCAUCAUGGCCCUUACGGCCAGGGCUACACACGUGCUACAAUGGUGCGCACAGAGGGCUGCAAACCCGCGAGGGGGAGCCAAUCUCACAAAACGCAUCGUAGUCCGGAUCGCAGUCUGCAACUCGACUGCGUGAAGUCGGAAUCGCUAGUAAUCGUGAAUCAGAAUGUCACGGUGAAUACGUUCCCGGGCCUUGUACACACCGCCCGUCACACCAUGGGAGUGGAUUGCACCAGAAGUGGUUAGUCUAACCUUCGGGAGGACGAUCACCACGGUGUGGUUCAUGACUGGGGUGAAGUCG